AUAUAUAUAUGGUAGGGGAGAUACUAUCAUCAAGGUGGUUUUCCCAGGGCAAGGAUCAUCCAUUGCUUUUUUGACAUGCUGACUUCUGCAAUUUCUCUUCCAAUGUGAGAAACUCUACUGUAUAAGUUGGAGAGAAUUUUUUUCAAGCUCUUU
rnacentral:snRNA from 1 species